AUCUCUGUAGAGUCUGCAUAUCAAUAAGCGGAGGAAAAGAAACUAACAAGGAUUCCCUUAGUAACGGCGAGUGAAGCGGGAAGAGCUCAAAUUUGAAAUCUUCAAGGUUUUACCUUGACGAAUUGUAGUUUAAAGAAGUGUUUUCUGUUGGAGUUUUGGUAAAAGUUCUUUGGAAUAGGACAUCAUAGAGGGUGAGAAUCCCGUAUUUGACCAUUACUUUCCAGCGUUGUGAUACACUUUCAAAGAGUCGGAUUGUUUGGGAAUGCAGUCCAAAAUGGGUGGUAAAUUUCAUCUAAAGCUAAAUACUGGCGAGAGACCGAUAGCGAACAAGUACCGUGAGGGAAAGAUGAAAAGAACUUUGAAAAGAGAGUUAAACAGUACGUGAAAUUGUCAAAAGGGAAAGCGUUUGACACCAGUGUUGUUUUCUCGAAAAUCAAUUAAAAAAGGCAGGAUUUUGUGUUGUAUUGACUUUAUCAGCUUUCUGCACUCUUUUCUUGUCUUUUUUUAAUGCACUUUUCGUUUAACAAGUCAACAUCAAUUUCUUUUGUUGUAAAAGGGUCAUUGGAAGGUGGCUUUCUUUUCGGAGAAAGUGUUUAUAGCCUUUGGCCUCUGCAAUCGGAGAGAUUGAGGUCUGCAGCGUAGAUCCUUCGGGGUUAGAUACACUUUGUGCUAAGUUGUAGCCUUUUCAUAGACAACUUGUUGACUAUGAUCAGUCAUGUAGGCUUACUCGCUUAGUGCUAUUUUACCUACGCUUAGGAUGUUGAAGAUGUAGCACAUCAU
rnacentral:rRNA from 1 species